UACGAAGGGGGCUAGCGUUGUUCGGAAUUACUGGGCGUAAAGCGUGCGCAGGCGGUCUGUUAAGACAGAUGUGAAAUCCCCGGGCUCAACCUGGGAACGGCGCUUGUGACUGCAAGGCUAGAGUACGGCAGAGGGGGGUGGAAGUUCCACGUGUAGCAGUGAAAUGCGUAGAGAUGUGGAGGAACACCGAUGGCGAAGGCAGCCCCCCUGGGCCGAUACUGACGCUCAUGCACGAAAGCGUGGGGAGCAAACAGG
rnacentral:rRNA from 1 species